rnacentral:rRNA from 1 species
CCUACGGGCGGCAGCAGUGAGGAAUAUUGGUCAAUGGACGAGAGUCUGAACCAGCCAAGUAGCGUGAAGGAUGACUGCCCUAUGGGUUGUAAACUUCUUUUAUAUGGGAGUAAAAUGUUCCACGUGUGGGAUUUUGUAUGUACCAUAUGAAUAAGGAUCGGCUAACUCCGUGCCAGCAGCCGAGGUAAUACGGAGGGUCCGAGCGUUAUCCGGAUUUAUUGGGUUUAAAGGGAGCGUAGGUGGAUUGUUAAGUCAGUUGUGAAAGUAUGCGGCUCAACCGGAAAAUUGCAGUUGAAACUGGCAGUCUUGAGUACAGUAGAGGUGGGCGGAAUUCGUGGUAUAGCGGUGAAAUGCUUAGAGAUCACGAAGAACUCCGAUUGCGAAGGCAGUUCACUGGACUGCAACUGACACUGAGGCUCGAAAGUGUGGGUAUCAAACAGGAUUAGAUACCCGUGUAGUC